ACCAGUUCCCAUACGAUCACCAAAGUUAAGCAACUUCGAGCUUGGUCAGUACCUAGAUGAGUUGACCACUUGAGAAUACCAGGUGCUGU